UUUGGUGCCAGCAGCCGCGGUAAUACCGACUCCAAGAGUGUGUAUGAGAGAUGCUGCAGUUAAAAAGUCCGUAGUCAUAGAAGGGCAAAGAGAGAUGCGAGGUCUCACAGUGCGAUGAUGGAGGAGCCGAUGGGGAACAUAGUAUACCAGGGCGAGAGAUGAAAUGCCAAGACCCCUGGUGGACUGAGCGAGGCGAAGGCGAUGUUCUUGUAGGCAUUCGGUGAUCAAGGACGAAGGCUGGAGUAUCGAAAGUGAUUAGAUACCGCAGUAGUUCCAGCAGUAAAAGAUGCCGACAUGCUCAUUGGACACAGUGGGCAGGGAGAAAUCUUAGAGUUCGGGCUCUGGGGAUAGUAUGCUCGCAAGGGUGAAAAUUAAAGAAAUUGACGGAGCUACACCACAAGGAGUGGAUUGUGCGGCUUAAUUUGACUCAACGCGAGGAAACUUACCAGGGCCAAGUAUUGUGUAGAAACGAGCAAUACAGGAGUGGUGCAUGGUCGUUGGAAAUUGAUGGGAUGACUUUGACCUUAAAUGGUUGAAUGAGUGAGAUCUUUUGGACAUGUUCCGCACGGAACAGGAAGGAAAAGGCUAUAACAGAUCCGAGAUGCCCUCAGAUGCCCUGGGCUGCACGCGCAAUACAAUAGCAGGUAGAGAGAGAGACAGGAAGGUGCUCAGAUGGACUAUGUGCUGUAAGGCACAUACGAAAGAGGAAUUCCUAGUAAGUGUGUAUCAACAAUGGAUAU
rnacentral:rRNA from 1 species